rnacentral:misc_RNA from 1 species
GAUGAAGAACGCAGCGAAAUGCGAUAAGUAGUGUGAAUUGCAGAAUUCAGUGAAUCAUCGAAUCUUUGAACGCACAUUGCGCCCCUUGGUAUCCCGAGGGGCAUGCCUGUUCGAGCGUCAUUUCACCACUCAAGCCUGGCUUGGUGUUGGGCGACGUCCCCUUUGGGGACGCGCCUCGAAACGCUCGGCGGCGUGGCACCGGCUUUAAGCGUAGCAGAAUCUUUCGCUUUGGAAGUCGGGGCCCCGUCUGCCGGAAGACCUACUCGCAAGGUUGACCUCGGAUCAGGCAGGGAUACCCGCUGAACUCAAGCAUAUCAAUAAGCGGAGGA